rnacentral:lncRNA from 1 species
GCUUAUGAAGGUUUGACACCCGUCCCCACCAUACCUGCCUGCCACUGCCAGGAUGACUGGAGUCUCAGGUGGCUUUGUGCCAAUGGAGGGAAAAAGAAAGAUAACAAGGAACUAGACACUGUGGGUGAACUCCUGGCCUCCUGCUGCGAGGCGCCUGAGGACCCUGGGCUCUCCCUCCUCGGUUUGGGCUUCAGAGGACCCUGGGCUCUCCCUCCUCG